UGGGGCGUAGCCAAGCGGUAAGGCAUCGGCCUUUGGAGCCGACAUUUCGCAGGUUCGAAUCCUGCCGCCCCAGCCA
rnacentral:tRNA from 1 species